UGGGGAAUAUUGGACAAUGGGGGGAACCCUGAUCCAGCCAUGCCGCGUGUGUGAAGAAGGCCUUAUGGUUGUAAAGCACUUUAAGCGAGGAGGAGGCUACUAGUAUUAAUACUACUGGAUAGUGGACGUUACUCGCAGAAUAAGCACCGGCUAACUCUGUGCCAGCAGCCGCGGUAAUACAGAGGGUGCGAGCGUUAAUCGGAUUUACUGGGCGUAAAGCGUGCGUAGGCGGCCAUUUAAGUCAAAUGUGAAAUCCCCGAGCUUAACUUGGGAAUUGCAUUCGAUACUGGAUGGCUAGAGUAUGGGAGAGGAUGGUAGAAUUCCAGGUGUAGCGGUGAAAUGCGUAGAGAUCUGGAGGAAUACCGAUGGCGAAGGCAGCCAUCUGGCCUAAUACUGACGCUGAGGUACGAAAGCAUGGGGAGCAAACAGGAUUAGAUACCCUGGUAGUCCAUGCCGUAAACGAUGUCUACUAGCCGUUGGGGCCUUUGAGGCUUUAGUGGCGCAGCUAACGCGAUAAGUAGACCGCCUGGGGAGUACGGUCGCAAGACUAAAA
rnacentral:rRNA from 1 species